rnacentral:snoRNA from 1 species
UGCACAUAAUUAGGUGUCCAUUUCCAAUACGAAAUUGAUGCUCAGUAACUGUGCGCAUAUUAAUGAAAGUGUGCUUAAAUGGAUUUGUUUUAAUACAAACUCAAACGGUACAAUUGCAACA